UAGCUGCCAACUUCAUCCCCAUUUUUUACUUCGCCAUUCAACCACACUUCUAUAGGCGCCAACAGAGUCCUGUUCUUCUAGUUUCGAAGUGUUGGGAGCUUGAACAUGGAGACGAGUCCGGCCGGCGAAGAACCCACCUCGUGGGACGAACGGUACAACAUCAAUUUGAUGCCCUCCGAGUUGUUCCUCAAGUUUCGGAAAGAAAUUCAGGGAACCCGAGUCGGUGUUAAUCUGGAGUUUUACAAUGCUCCAAGGAAUGAUUUUCAAACGAAGCUUGUGUUCAAGCCUCUCUCCCCAGACCGCCUGUGGAAGUUUGUCUAUGAACCCAUACAUCAAGACGUGCGCAUUCUCUCGAAAAAGAUUCCUGUCACAAAAUUCUUAAAUCUCCAGGUUGGCGUAGGCCACAAUUUUCAGUUAAAUGCAAUUAGUUGGAAAUGGAAGCUCACCACAUGUUUGGGUGGAGAUGGUGUAUCUCGAAUUAGAAAUAAGACCACUCUUGGACUUUGUCCAGGUGUAGAUUUUUGAUUUGGGUGGAGGGCUGAUUACGUUCUUCCAGAAAUCACAGGGGGUCUUGGUACUGAUGAGCCACUAUUCAACAUGAACUCUGGGCAGUUGCAAGCGUCACUAGAUAGAGUGGAAGCCAUUUUAAGCUAUCCAGAUACUAUUUAGAGGAUAUUGGUGAAGAGAUGGUACGUUAAUUGGUUGGCUCCUUUGAAGUGCAUUUAGGUGACAACUACUAGCAUCUAAUGUGCACAGGAUGAUGCUUUGACAUGAAAAUUUUGAACAUGGCUGAGCGAAAGAUCGUUUUGCUUUUGGGUGUUCAUGUUGGCCUCAGAAGUUGCUUAUUUAUCAUUUUUUUCUUAGCAUAUGUUGAUAUUUAAUUGCAGCAUCAAUUGUUUGCCUGAAUUUCAUUUUCAGCUGGAGAAGCAGGAAUAUGGGAAGGGAUGACGAGGUUCAGUGGUACAGUGAAGAAUGAGUAUUGAAGCCUUUGAAUAUCAUCAAUUUUGUCGAACAAUGUUGUUUUAUGUGAGGGAAGUAGUG